rnacentral:rRNA from 1 species
AGAGUUUGAUCAUGGCUCAGAUUGAACGCUGGCGGCAGGCCUAACACAUGCAAGUCGAACGGUAACAGGAAGCAGCUUGCUGCUUUGCUGACGAGUGGCGGACGGGUGAGUAAUGUCUGGGAAACUGCCUGAUGGAGGGGGAUAACUACUGGAAACGGUGGCUAAUACCGCAUAACGUCGCAAGACCAAAGAGGGGGACCUUCGGGCCUCUUGCCAUCAGAUGUGCCCAGAUGGGAUUAGCUUGUUGGUGAGGUAACGGCUCACCAAGGCGACGAUCCCUAGCUGGUCUGAGAGGAUGACCAGCCACACUGGAACUGAGACACGGUCCAGACUCCUACGGGAGGCAGCAGUGGGGAAUAUUGCACAAUGGGCGCAAGCCUGAUGCAGCCAUGCCGCGUGUAUGAAGAAGGCCUUCGGGUUGUAAAGUACUUUCAGCGGGGAGGAAGGUGUUGUGGUUAAUAACCGCAGCAAUUGACGUUACCCGCAGAAGAAGCACCGGCUAACUCCGUGCCAGCAGCCGCGGUAAUACGGAGGGUGCAAGCGUUAAUCGGAAUUACUGGGCGUAAAGCGCACGCAGGCGGUCUGUCAAGUCGGAUGUGAAAUCCCCGGGCUCAACCUGGGAACUGCAUUCGAAACUGGCAGGCUUGAGUCUUGUAGAGGGGGGUAGAAUUCCAGGUGUAGCGGUGAAAUGCGUAGAGAUCUGGAGGAAUACCGGUGGCGAAGGCGGCCCCCUGGACAAAGACUGACGCUCAGGUGCGAAAGCGUGGGGAGCAAACAGGAUUAGAUACCCUGGUAGUCCACGCCGUAAACGAUGUCUACUUGGAGGUUGUGCCCUUGAGGCGUGGCUUCCGGAGCUAACGCGUUAAGUAGACCGCCUGGGGAGUACGGCCGCAAGGUUAAAACUCAAAUGAAUUGACGGGGGCCCGCACAAGCGGUGGAGCAUGUGGUUUAAUUCGAUGCAACGCGAAGAACCUUACCUGGUCUUGACAUCCACAGAACUUUCCAGAGAUGAGAUUGUGCCUUCGGGAACUGUGAGACAGGUGCUGCAUGGCUGUCGUCAGCUCGUGUUGUGAAAUGUUGGGUUAAGUCCCGCAACGAGCGCAACCCUUAUCCUUUGUUGCCAGCGGUUAGGCCGGGAACUCAAAGGAGACUGCCAGUGAUAAACUGGAGGAAGGUGGGGAUGACGUCAAGUCAUCAUGGCCCUUACGACCAGGGCUACACACGUGCUACAAUGGCGCAUACAAAGAGAAGCGACCUCGCGAGAGCAAGCGGACCUCAUAAAGUGCGUCGUAGUCCGGAUUGGAGUCUGCAACUCGACUCCAUGAAGUCGGAAUCGCUAGUAAUCGUGGAUCAGAAUGCCACGGUGAAUACGUUCCCGGGCCUUGUACACACCGCCCGUCACACCAUGGGAGUGGGUUGCAAAAGAAGUAGGUAGCUUAACCUUCGGGAGGGCGCUUACCACUUUGUGAUUCAUGACUGGGGUGAAGUCGUAACAAGGUAACCGUAGGGGAACCUGCGGUUG